ACCCCAGUGACUUAGCAGUAAAGAACCUGCUUGCAAUGCAGGAGACCUAGGUUUGAUUCCUGGCUCUGGAA
rnacentral:tRNA from 1 species